CCGAAGCUGCGGCAGCGACACUGUGUGUUGUUGGGUAGGGGAGCGUUCUGUAAGCCUGUGAAGGUGUACUGUGAGGUAUGCUGGAGGUAUCAGAAGUGCGAAUGCUGACAUAAGUAACGAUAAAGCGGGUGAAAAGCCCGCUCGCCGGAAGACCAAGGGUUCCUGUCCAACGUUAAUCGGGGCAGGGUGAGUCGACCCCUAAGGCGAGGCCGAAAGGCGUAGUCGAUGGGAAACAGGUUAAUAUUCCUGUACUUGGUGUUACUGCGAAGGGGGGACGGAGAAGGCUAUGUUGGCCGGGCGACGGUUGUCCCGGUUUAAGCGUGUAGGCUGGUUUUCCAGGCAAAUCCGGAAAAUCAAGGCUGAGGCGUGAUGACGAGGCACUACGGUGCUGAAGCAACAAAUGCCCUGCUUCCAGGAAAAGCCUCUAAGCAUCAGGUAACAUCAAAUCGUACCCCAAACCGACACAGGUGGUCAGGUAGAGAAUACCAAGGCGCUUGAGAGAACUCGGGUGAAGGAACUAGGCAAAAUGGUGCCGUAACUUCGGGAGAAGGCACGCUGAUAUGUAGGUGAAGUCCCUCGCGGAUGGAGCUGAAAUCAGUCGAAGAUACCAGCUGGCUGCAACUGUUUAUUAAAAACACAGCACUGUGCAAACACGAAAGUGGACGUAUACGGUGUGACGCCUGCCCGGUGCCGGAAGGUUAAUUGAUGGGGUCAGCGCAAGCGAAGCUCUUGAUCGAAGCCCCGGUAAACGGCGGCCGUAACUAUAACGGUCCUAAGGUAGCGAAAUUCCUUGUCGGGUAAGUUCCGACCUGCACGAAUGGCGUAAUGAUGGCCAGGCUGUCUCCACCCGAGACUCAGUGAAAUUGAACUCGCUGUGAAGAUGCAGUGUACCCGCGGCAAGACGGAAAGACCCCGUGAACCUUUACUAUAGCUUGACACUGAACAUUGAGCCUUGAUGUGUAGGAUAGGUGGGAGGCUUUGAAGUGUGGACGCCAGUCUGCAUGGAGCCGACCUUGAAAUACCACCCUUUAAUGUUUGAUGUUCUAACGUGGACCCGUGAUCCGGGUUGCGGACAGUGUCUGGUGGGUAGUUUGACUGGGGCGGUCUCCUCCUAAAGAGUAACGGAGGAGCACGAAGGUUGGCUAAUCCUGGUCGGACAUCAGGAGGUUAGUGCAAUGGCAUAAGCCAGCUUGACUGCGAGCGUGACGGCGCGAGCAGGUGCGAAAGCAGGUCAUAGUGAUCCGGUGGUUCUGAAUGGAAGGGCCAUCGCUCAACGGAUAAAAGGUACUCCGGGGAUAACAGGCUGAUACCGCCCAAGAGUUCAUAUCGACGGCGGUGUUUGGCACCUCGAUGUCGGCUCAUCACAUCCUGGGGCUGAAGUAGGUCCCAAGGGUAUGGCUGUUCGCCAUUUAAAGUGGUACGCGAGCUGGGUUUAGAACGUCGUGAGACAGUUCGGUCCCUAUCUGCCGUGGGCGCUGGAGAACUGAGGGGGGCUGCUCCUAGUACGAGAGGACCGGAGUGGACGCAUCACUGGUGUUCGGGUUGUCAUGCCAAUGGCACUGCCCGGUAGCUAAAUGCGGAAGAGAUAAGUGCUGAAAGCAUCUAAGCACGAAACUUGCCCCGAGAUGAGUUCUCCCUGACCCUUUAAGGGUCCUGAAGGAACGUUGAAGACGACGACGUUGAUAGGCCGGGUGUGUAAGCGCAGCGAUGCGUUGAGCUAACCGGUACUAAUGAACCGUGAGGCUUAACCUU
rnacentral:rRNA from 1 species